rnacentral:rRNA from 1 species
GGGUUCGUUGGGUCGGGACUACACAUGCAGUCGAGCGGUAGCACAGGAGAGCUUGCUCUCUGGGUGACGAGCGGCGGACGGGUGAGUAAUGUCUGGGAAACUGCCUGAUGGAGGGGGAUAACUACUGGAAACGGUAGCUAAUACCGCAUAACGUCUACGGACCAAAGUGGGGGACCUUCGGGCCUCACGCCAUCAGAUGUGCCCAGAUGGGAUUAGCUAGUAGGUGGGGUAAUGGCUCACCUAGGCGACGAUCCCUAGCUGGUCUGAGAGGAUGACCAGCCACACUGGAACUGAGACACGGUCCAGACUCCUACGGGAGGCAGCAGUGGGGAAUAUUGCACAAUGGGCGCAAGCCUGAUGCAGCCAUGCCGCGUGUGUGAAGAAGGCCUUAGGGUUGUAAAGCACUUUCAGCGAGGAGGAAGGGCAAUGUGUUAAUAGCACAUUGCAUUGACGUUACUCGCAGAAGAAGCACCGGCUAACUCCGUGCCAGCAGCCGCGGUAAUACGGAGGGUGCAAGCGUUAAUCGGAAUUACUGGGCGUAAAGCGCACGCAGGCGGUUUGUUAAGUCAGAUGUGAAAUCCCCGCGCUUAACGUGGGAACUGCAUUUGAAACUGGCAAGCUAGAGUCUUGUAGAGGGGGGUAGAAUUCCAGGUGUAGCGGUGAAAUGCGUAGAGAUCUGGAGGAAUACCGGUGGCGAAGGCGGCCCCCUGGACAAAGACUGACGCUCAGGUGCGAAAGCGUGGGGAGCAAACAGGAUUAGAUACCCUGGUAGUCCACGCUGUAAACGAUGUCGAUUUGGAGGUUGUGCCCUUGAGGCGUGGCUUCCGGAGCUAACGCGUUAAAUCGACCGCCUGGGGAGUACGGCCGCAAGGUUAAAACUCAAAUGAAUUGACGGGGGCCCGCACAAGCGGUGGAGCAUGUGGUUUAAUUCGAUGCAACGCGAAGAACCUUACCUACUCUUGACAUCCAGAGAAUUCGCUAGAGAUAGCUUAGUGCCUUCGGAACUCUGAGACAGGUGCUGCAUGGACUGUCGUCAGCUCGUGUUGUGAAAUGUUGGGUUUAGUCCCGCAACGAGCGCAACCUAUCCUUUGUGCCAGGCGAUUCGGUUCGGGAACUCAAAGAG